CUAACUGUGCCUAUUCCUUUUCUCCUUCGUGAGUGACUCUCACUUUCCCCAAAUCACACACCACGGUGUCAUCCUCACCCAAGCUCGCGGAGCUCCUGCUCGCUUCCGGUUCCUCCUCCGCUCGCUCACACCACAGCUUCCUCGUCUCGCCCGUGGAAGAAUCCACGCGUGGAUGCCGGCUACUACGCGCCUUCGUACCCCUGGACACGGUUGCUGCCGGACUCCCAGGUCGCCAAGUACACACCGCCUCGCGCGGACGCCUGCUAUUGCGCGCCCCCGCUUCCCUGUACGUUGGUUGCUGCUCGCCUCCCCUGCACGUUGGUUGCUGUCUGCCUCCCCUCAAAGUCGGCCGUGCAGGCUGCACCGACAUCAACCGGUUUUACCACAGAAUCGGCGGCACCGAGGGCAGCAGGCAGCUGUAGCUCCCGACCAACAUCUCUAUCAGUAACAACAGAUGGGGAUGACAAGCUAGUAGAUGGGGAUUCGGAGGAGCAGCGAUUAGGCGACACAGAACGACGAAGGAGACGACCAUCGGCCGCUACAUGACGAGGCCCCCUCGCUGGCAGACGCACGGGCGUAGCCUCGCCAUUCCCACAGACUGCGACGAUCCCAACGGAAGGCACCUUCCUCUCCAUCAACGUGUGAUGGACCGAAGAUGAAGAAGUUUCAAGAACGGGAUCAAUCCAUCUACAAGAAUCAAUCAUCCUGAUGGAUCACUGCACGCUACACUCCAUUUGUCUUGUUCCUGAUUUGAUUAAACAAAUGGGUAUUUUAAUCAACUUUGUUGUUGA